rnacentral:tRNA from 1 species
GCCUACCUGGCUCAGUCAGUAGAGCAUGUGACUCUUGAUUUCGGGGUGGUGAGUUCAAACCCCACAUUGGGCA